rfam:Triticum aestivum genome assembly, contig: Triticum_aestivum_CS42_TGACv1_scaffold_294001_4AL
GUAGUACUCCCUCCGUUCGGAAUUACUUGUCGUAGAAAUGGAUGUAUCUAGAUGUAUUUUAGUUCUAGAUACAUUCAUUUAUGAGACAAGUAAUUCCGAACGGAGGGAGUACAUG